rnacentral:rRNA from 1 species
UACGUAGGUGGCGAGCGUUGUCCGGAUUUACUGGGCGUAAAGAGCGCGCAGGCGGUCGUGCAAGUCGCGUGUGAAAGCCCCCGGCUCAACUGGGGAGGGUCACGCGAUACUGCUCGACUCGAAGGCAGGAGAGGGAAGUGGAAUUCCCGGUGUAGUGGUGAAAUGCGUAGAUAUCGGGAGGAACAUCAGUGGCGAAGGCGACUUCCUGGCCUGUUCUUGACGCUGAGGCGCGAAAGCUAGGGUAGCAAACGGG